ACACCAGAAGGCUGGCACCAGACGAGGGAGGAAGAGAAUUGCAACCUGUCCUUCUGGGAGGCAAGGCUGACCGCUCAUGUUUUUUCUUCCCUCCCUGGUUUUGCCCUUUCAGGACUCACCCUUCCCCAGGAGAGGAGGCUGGAUGACUCAUUGGCCCUUGCUGUUCUGAAAGCCGUGGCCCAGGUAUCUUUUGAUGGCUGUAUCUCCCUUUACGAAGGAAGUUGUGCUGCUCUCCAUAGAAAUAUCAAGAACAUACGGACCCUUCUCUUGAAUUGCCAAAAUCGUCUUACGUGCUCAUCUGCCUCAGCUUAUUCUCUGGGUUCUUCUAUUUCCAGGCCAGAUGUGAUCUCCUUAUCGGAACAAGGGAAAGAACCCUUGGGGGCACAAAGAGAUGUGACAGGAAGCCUGUGCCCAGCUGAGUGAAGGAUCAUUAAGAAGGGCAGUGGCGCUGUAGGUAAUGGCUCAGACGGUUAGCAGGACGCGGCACCUUUGAGACAAUGCCUGGAAAGUUCCCCUCAAAGUCCCUAGUGUUCAGAGCAGAGCAUUACUCCCAUCAGGGUGAGCGCCUGGAGGGGCUUCUCGUACUCACACACACCACCCCCUGCACCCUCCCCAUGCUUCUCCCCGCUCAAAGAGGAAGGCGAGUUCUUUGAAGUACAACUUUUUACCUACCCAGGGAACACUGUUUCUUUCCAGUUUCUCCCCCACCCCCUUUUUAUACUUAUUUUGAGAGAGACGAAGCAUGAGUGGGGGAGGGGCAGAAAGAGUGAGAAUCCCAAGCAGGCUCCACACUCUCAGCACAGAGCCUGACGCGGGGCUCGAACUCACGAACCAUGAGAUCAUGACCUGAGCCAAAGUCAGACACUUAACUGACCUAGCCACCCAGGCGCCCCUCCCCCACCACUUUUUAAACAGUUGGAUCAUUGUUUCCAUCCGAUAAUAUGGUUCUAAAAAUAGUUUAUUUUGGUUACCUCCCAAUGAUUUUUCUUCCUUUGAUAUGUAUUUCCAGAUUCAGAUUUUGUACAUUCUUUCUUUCAUGCUUUAAAAAAAACUUUUUUUUAACAUGUUCAAAUUUUCCAAUUUGAGUCAGGCUCUCUGCAAUAACGUGGGUCCCAAGGUUGCUUCUGAUUCAUCCUCAGAUGUAGGAUUAGACCAGCCUGUAAUUUCUGCUGUCAGACAUUUCUUAAACAUUUCCUAAAAUUCUAUGUAGUCAAUUUUUAAAUAAUUCUUAUCAUACCCCUGUGAGAAACACAUGUAUUAAGUAGAGUACAACGUUUAUGUAUGAGUUUUUUUCUCUUUAGUCUUACAGUAUGUGAUCAAAAUACUGUUUUCUAAAUAUACUAAAAUUGGUUCUUUUCUUCCCCACUCCCUUCAUCGUGGCUGUAUUUAUUUGUAGUACAGGCAGGUUCAUUCAUUACUGUUU
rnacentral:lncRNA from 1 species